rnacentral:misc_RNA from 1 species
UCCCUGUUACCAGGGCAGUCUGAAUAGAAAAAUUCAACUAUUCAAAAGGGUUGCGCUCGUUGAUGGACUUAACCAAACAUCUCACGACACGAGCUGACGACGGCCAUGCAACACCUGUCACUAGAUUCCCGAAGGCACUCUCUCCUUUCGGAGAAAUUCCUAGGAUGUCAAGCCUGGGUAAGGUUCUUCGCUUAUCAUCGAAUUAAACAACACGCUCCACCGCUUGUGCGGGUCCCCGUCAAUUCCUUUAUGUUUUAGUCUUGCGACCGUACUCCACAGGCGGGAUGCUUAACGCGUUAGCUUCGCUACUAGCCGGGUCGAUACGGCUAACAGCCAGCAUCCAUCGUUUACGGCGUGGACUAC